GGGGUUGUGGCUCAGUGGUAGAGCUCUUUCUUUGAAAGCAUGAUGCACUGAGUUUGAUCCUCAGCACCA
rnacentral:tRNA from 1 species